rnacentral:rRNA from 1 species
GUGUCAGCAGCCGCGGUAAUACGUAGGUGGCGAGCGUUGUCCGGAAUUACUGGGCGUAAAGGGUGCGUAGGCGGAUAUUUAAGUGAGAUGUGAAAUCCCCGGGCUUAACCCGGGCACUGCAUUUCAAACUGGAUAUCUAGAGUGCAGGAGAGGAGAGUAGAAUUCCUAGUGUAGCGGUGAAAUGCGUAGAGAUUAGGAAGAAUACCAGUGGCGAAGGCAGCUUUCUGGACUGUAACUGACGCUGAGGCAUGAAAGCG